rnacentral:rRNA from 1 species
CAGUAGCCGCGGGAAUACGGAGGGAGCUAGCGUUGUUCGGAAUUACUGGGCGUAAAGCGCACGUAGGCGGCUUUGUAAGUCAGAGGUGAAAGCCUGGAGCUCAACUCCAGAACUGCCUUUGAGACUGCAUCGCUUGAAUCCAGGAGAGGUGAGUGGAAUUCCGAGUGUAGAGGUGAAAUUCGUAGAUAUUCGGAAGAACACCAGUGGCGAAGGCGGCUCACUGGACUGGUAUUGACGCUGAGGUGCGAAAGCGUGGGGAGCAAACAGGAUUAGAUACCCCUGUAGUCCCUGUCUCUUAUAC